UUUGUUUCUUUUCUUUUCUUUUUGAGUUAUUAAACACAAUAUUUUGAUAUUUUACGCGGAUUUGUUUGUUAAUAUUCUCAAAAGUCCUAACAGUUUGUUUUGUAGAGAUUCUUGUGUUUUAUUGUAGGGUAGCAUUGCAGGGUUGGCAUGUUGUGAAGUUUCAGACUCGUGGUGUUUUUGAAGAUUUUUGGUCAUCUGUUGCUAGUAUUGUUGUUUUUGUACGAUUUGAUUAUUUGAUAUAUGAGUAUGAAAGUUCCAACAUCAAUGAUAGUCUAUUUGUUUGAUUAAUGCCGUACUCCUUUAGUUACAAGGAUUUUAACUUAAUCCUUAGAGUUAAAUUGCCAUUUUAGGGCAUGUUUACAAUAUAUUGACUUGUUGGCUUGUUGAAAGUCAUAAGCUUGUUAAAUAAAUUUUGGCGGGUCAUGAGGGGAAAAAACUAAUAAGUUGUUUCAAAAAGCUUAGACAAACAUGCCCUUAGUCCUGAGGUUUGGAUUAUUUUGCCAGUUUGUUUAGUUUAAAGGUAUCAUUUUUUAGUCUAUGGAUGUAAAAAGGUUUCACGGUUGUCAUUUUAGUCCGUGUUUUAUUUGUAAUUCUAUUAACUAUAAGG
rnacentral:lncRNA from 1 species